GGAUCUGCUAAAGCCUUAAGGAAUGUAAGGAGUUACCUCUUAUGGGAGGAGGAAGUUGGCUCUUUGAAAGUCACAAAGCAGUGUUGUGACGGGGACACAGCUGGUCCUGAGAAGGCAUCAUAUUCAGACAAGCAUGUGAGAUUGCAUUCAUUACUGUGGGAUUAUCAUGGUUCAGUAGGUCCUGAAAUCCCCCUGGAGUAAAUUCUUUGGAUUCCAACAUUAUAUCUCCAGAAGUCCCCCCAAACUAUAACCUCUCUGGAGGGGUUCAGAAGAUUGGAAGAUGUUUUACUCAUACUCUACAGUUCUAUAUAAAGACUCUACUCCUUAUUGACUUUCCUUAUAAGCCCA